GGCGUGCCUAACGCAUGCAAGUCGCGACGAGAGCUCUAAACCUUCGGGGGUGAUAGUAAAGUGGCGCACGGGUGAGUAACGCGUGAGUAAUCUGCCCUUGUGUUCGGAAGUGCCUCUCGAAAGGGGGGCUAAUACCGAAUGAGACCACGACGGUCUCGGCGGUCGGGGUAAAAGGUGGCCUCUACAUGUAAGCUACCGCAUGAGGAUGAGCUCGCGUGCUAUUAGCUAGUUGGUAGGGUAACGGCCUACCAAGGCGACGAUAGCUAGCUGGUCUGAGAGGAUGAUCAGCCACACUGGAACUGAAACACGGUCCAGACUCCUACGGGAGGCAGCAGUGAGGAAUUUUGCGCAAUGGGGGAAACCCUGACGCAGCAACGCCGCGUGAGUGAAGAAGGCUUUCGGGUCGUAAAGCUCUGUCAAGCGGGAAGAAAUGCAUCAAGUUUAAUAUGCUUGGUGUUUGACGGUACCGCUGGAGGAAGCACCGGCUAACUCCGUGCCAGCAGCCGCGGUAAUACGGAGGGUGCGAGCGUUAUUCGGAAUCAUUGGGUGUAAAGCGCGUGUAGGCGGCCAGGUCAGUCAGAUGUGAAAUCUCCGGGCUUAACUCGGAACGUGCAUUUGAUACUGCUUGGCUUGAGUACGGGAGAGGAAGGUGGAAUUCCCAGUGUAGAGGUGAAAUUCGUAGAUCUUGGGAGGAACAUCGGUGGCGAAGGCGACCUUCUGGACCGAUACUGACGCUAAGACGCGAAAGCGUGGGGAGCAAACAGGAUUAGAUACCCUGGUAGUCCACGCCGUAAACGAUGGGUACUAGGUG
rnacentral:rRNA from 1 species